AUCCUCGAGGGGCGUUGCGACAAGACGCUAGUCUUGCCAGGCUCGGGGCAUGGAUAGGUGGUAUCCACCUUGGAGAACGACGCUCACCACGA
rfam:Steinernema glaseri strain NC unplaced genomic scaffold GLAS_4972, whole genome shotgun sequence.